UCCGAAGGGAGCUAUCGUUGAUCGGAAUUACUGGGCGUAAAGCGCACGUAGGCGGACUUGUUAGUCAGGGGUGAAAUCCCCGGGCUCAACCUUGGAACUGCCUUUGAUACUGCAAGUCUCGAGUCCGGAAGAGGUGAGUGGAAUUCCUAGUGUAGAGGUGAAAUUCGUAGAUAUUAGGAGGAACACCAGUGGCGAAGGCGGCUAACUGGUCCAGGACUGACGCUGAGGUGCGAAAGCGUGGGGAGUAAACAGG
rnacentral:rRNA from 1 species